UUUUUGCUAUAAAUAGGUUCGGAAAACUUCAGGUCGAUAUCAGUUGUAUCAUUACGUUUGUAGUAACCGACAGCAGAACGAACUACCCUUUUGUCAAAAUGAUGAAGCCAGUACUUUUCACCUUCCUCUUGGUUGCCCUUUUUGCUGCGUACUCCGCAUCUCCAGUAGCUGAUGCCGAAGCUGCACCAGCCCCUUGUUGGUGGUGGCUUUUAUUGACAACCACAACAACAACAACUACUACUACUACCACCACAACCACCACCACUACAACCACUACUACAACAACAACCACUACUACUGCAGCACCAGCAGCUUAGUGCUUCCACUAGUUCUGCAAAGUGGUAAUCUGUUACAGCAUCAUCUUGAAGGGUUGAAAAACUUUGAAAAAUGUGAUAACAUUCGAAAAUAUUCAAUAAAAUCGGUUGUAACAGUAA